rnacentral:rRNA from 1 species
AUGGAGAGUUUGAUCCUGGCUCAGGAUGAACGCUAGCGGCAGGCCUAAUACAUGCAAGUCGAACGGUAACAGGACCAGCAAUGGUCGCUGACGAGUGGCGCACGGGUGCGUAACACGUAUGCAAUCUACCUUUAACUGGAGAAUAGCCCCGAGAAAUCGGGAUUAAUACUCCAUAAUAUUAUGAAGUGGCAUCACUUUAUAAUUAAAGCUCAGGCGGUUAAAGAUGAGCAUGCGCGAUAUUAGCUAGUUGGUGAGGUAACGGCUCACCAAGGCUACGAUAUCUAGGGGAUCUGAGAGGAUUUACCCCCACACUGGUACUGAGACACGGACCAGACUCCUACGGGAGGCAGCAGUAAGGAAUAUUGGACAAUGGGCGCAAGCCUGAUCCAGCCAUGCCGCGUGCAGGAUGAAGGCUUUCUGAGUCGUAAACUGCUUUUGCCAGGGAAGAAUAAGGCCCAUGCGUGGGUCGACGACGGUACCUGGUGAAUAAGCACCGGCUAACUCCGUGCCAGCAGCCGCGGUAAUACGGAGGGGGCUAGCGUUGUUCGGAAUUACUGGGCGUAAAGCGUACGUAGGCGGCUUUGUAAGUUAGAGGUGAAAGCCUGGUGCUCAACACCAGAACUGCCUUUAAGACUGCAUCGCUUGAACGUCGGAGAGGUGAGUGGAAUUCCGAGUGUAGAGGUGAAAUUCGUAGAUAUUCGGAAGAACACCAGUGGCGAAGGCGGCUCACUGGACGACUGUUGACGCUGAGGUACGAAAGCGUGGGGAGCAAACAGG